rnacentral:rRNA from 1 species
AGUGAACGCUGGCGGUAGGCCUAACACAUGCAAGUCGAACGGCAGCACAGUAAGAGCUUGCUCUUACGGGUGGCGAGUGGCGGACGGGUGAGGAAUACAUCGGAAUCUACUUUUUCGUGGGGGAUAACGUAGGGAAACUUACGCUAAUACCGCAUACGUCCUACGGGUGAAAGCAGUGGAUCUUCGGACCUUUCGCGAUUGUAUGAGCCGAUGUCGGAUUAGCUAGUUGGCUGGGUAAAGGCCCACCAAGGCGACGAUCCGUAGCUGGCCUGAGAGGAUGAUCAGCCACACUGGAACUGAGACACGGUCCAGACUCCUACGGGAGGCAGCAGUGGGGAAUAUUGGACAAUGGGCGAAAGCAUGAUGCAGCCAUACCGCGUGGGUGAAGAAGGCCUUCGGGUUGUAAAGCCCUUUUGUUGGGAAAGAAAAGAAGCAGGUUAAUACCCAGCUGUUCUGACGGUACCCAAAGAAUAAGCACCGGCUAACUUCGUG